UGGGGAAUAUUGCACAAUGGGCGCAAGCCUGAUGCAGCCAUGCCGCGUGUAUGAAGAAGGCCUUCGGGUUGUAAAGUACUUUCAGCGAGGAGGAAGGCGUUGUGGUUAAUAACCGCAGCGAUUGACGUUACUCGCAGAAGAAGCACCGGCUAACUCCGUGCCAGCAGCCGCGGGAAUACGGAGGGUGCAAGCGUUAAUCGGAAUUACUGGGCGUAAAGCGCACGCAGGCGGUCUGUCAAGUCGGAUGUGAAAUCCCCGGGCUCAACCUGGGAACUGCAUCCGAAACUGGCAGGCUAGAGUCUUGUAGAGGGGGGUAGAAUUCCAGGUGUAGCGGUGAAAUGCGUAGAGAUCUGGAGGAAUACCUGUGGCGAAGGCGGCCCCCUGGACAAAGACUGACGCUCAGGUGCGAAAGCGUGGGGAGCAAACA
rnacentral:rRNA from 1 species